rnacentral:tRNA from 1 species
GCAUCCGUAGCUCAGUUUGGAUAGAGCACAAGUUUCCUAAACCUGGGGUCGGGAGUUCGAAUCUCUUCGGGUGCGCCA